GUAGAUGCUCAUUCCAUUUUCUAUGUUUGCUUCGGCUUCAUAACCCUGGGAAUGACGCAGAGCCCUUAUCGGUGCCUAUCGUCCACCAUGACAUGAAGACUAUUUCAUGAAACGUUUCGGACAUUACGUUGAGUGAGGCACCACCCCUAGUCUUUAAGACCUGAUGUUUAUUGACGCUUGUCGACGUUCGGCAAGCGUUUUUUU
rnacentral:sRNA from 1 species